AUUGCUUCUUAGCCUCUUGGCUAAGAUCAAGUGUAGUAUCUGUUUGCUUCUGCCUCCCAAGUGCUGGAAUUAAAGGUGUGCGCCAUUGCACCUGGCAUUAGUUUUUCUAACGGAAACUUCAUCAAGGAUGGCUGGCAACUGAAAACAUUUAAAAAAUUACCUUAUUUAUUUAUUUAUUUAUUUAUU